AGCGGAUUGGUGUAAUGGUAACACGCGGGACUUUGACUCCCUUGUUAGAGGUUCGACCCCUCUAUCCGCUG
rnacentral:tRNA from 1 species